rnacentral:rRNA from 1 species
AACGAACGCUGGCGGCAUGCCUAACACGUGCAAGUCGAACGAGACCUUCGGGUCUAGUGGCGCACGGGUGCGUAACGCGUGGGAACCUGCCUUUAGGUUCGGAAUAACUCAGAGAAAUUUGAGCUAAUACCGGAUGAUGUCUUCGGACCAAAGAUUUAUCGCCUUUAGAUGGGCCCGCGUUGGAUUAGCUAGUUGGUGGGGUAAAGGCCUACCAAGGCGACGAUCCAUAGCUGGUCUGAGAGGAUGAUCAGCCACACUGGGACUGAGACACGGCCCAGACUCCUACGGGAGGCAGCAGUGGGGAAUAUUGGACAAUGGGCGAAAGCCUGAUCCAGCAAUGCCGCGUGAGUGAUGAAGGCCUUAGGGUUGUAAAGCUCUUUUACCCGAGAUGAUAAUGACAGUAUCGGGAGAAUAAGCUCCGGCUAACUCCGUG